GCGGAUGUGCUGGAAUUGGUAGACUGGCCAGCUUGAGGUGCUGGUGUCCCAUGGACGUGCGGGUUCGAGUCCCGCCAUCCGCACCA
rnacentral:tRNA from 1 species